rnacentral:rRNA from 1 species
AGAGUUUGAUCAUGGCUCAGGAUGAACGCUAGCGGCAGGCUUAAUACAUGCAAGUCGAGGGGCAGCACGAAUAGCAAUAUUUGGUGGCGACCGGCAAACGGGUGCGGAACACGUACGCAACCUUCCCGAAACAGGUGAAUAGCCCUCCGAAAGGAGGAUUAAUACACCGUGAGAUAUGAUUGUGGCAUCACAGACAUAUUAUAGGUAGCAAUACCGGUUUUGGAUGGGCGUGCGCCUGAUUAGGUAGUUGGCGGGGUAACGGCCCACCAAGCCUCCGAUCAGUAACUGGUGUGAGAGCACGACCAGUCACACGGGCACUGAGACACGGGCCCGACUCCUACGGGAGGCAGCAGUAAGGAAUAUUGGUCAAUGGACGCAAGUCUGAACCAGCCAUGCCGCGUGAAGGAUGACGGCCCUCUGGGUUGUAAACUUCUUUUAUCUGGGACGAAAAAAGGGAAUUCUUUCUCACUUGACGGUACCAGAGGAAUAAGCACCGGCUAACUCCGUGCCAGCAGCCGCGGUAAUACGGAGGGUGCAAGCGUUAUCCGGAUUUACUGGGUUUAAAGGGUGCGUAGGUGGAUAAGUAAGUCAGUGGUGAAAUCUCCGGGCUUAACCCGGAAACUGCCAUUGAUACUAUUUGUCUUGAAUACUUUGGAGGUAAGCGGAAUAUGUCAUGUAGCGGUGAAAUGCUUAGAUAUGACAUAGAACACCAAUUGCGAAGGCAGCUUACUACACAGUUAUUGACACUGAGGCACGAAAGCGUGGGGAUCAAACAGGAUUAGAUACCCUAGUAGUCC